GUUAAUAUGUCCGAGUGGUUAAGGAGAUAGACUUGAAACCUAUUGGGCUUUGCCUGUGCAGGUUCGAAUCCUGCUGUUUAUG
rfam:Ipomoea nil DNA, scaffold: scaffold3065, cultivar: Tokyo-kokei standard.